rnacentral:rRNA from 1 species
ACCAGCACGUUAUGGUGGGCACUCUAAGGAGACUGCCGGUGACAAACCGGAGGAAGGUGGGGAUGACGUCAAGUCAUCAUGGCCCUUACGGCCUGGGCUACACACGUGCUACAAUGGUCGGUACAAAGGGUUGCCAAGCCGCGAGGUGGAGCUAAUCCCAUAAAACCGAUCGUAGUCCGGAUCGCAGUCUGCAACUCGACUGCGUGAAGUCGGAAUCGCUAGUAAUCGUGAAUCGGAAUGUCACGGUGAAUACGUUCCCGGGCCUU